rnacentral:rRNA from 1 species
AGAGUUUGAUUAUGGCUCAGGAUGAACGCUAGCUACAGGCUUAACACAUGCAAGUCGAGGGGCAGCAUUAUCGAAGCUUGCUUGAUAGAUGGCGACCGGCGCACGGGUGAGUAACGCGUAUCCAACCUUCCCUAUAGUAGAGAAUAGCCCGGCGAAAGUCGGAUUAAUGCUCUAUGUUGUAUUUAGAAGACAUCUGAAGAAUACCAAAGGUUUACCGCUAUAGGAUGGGGAUGCGUCUGAUUAGGUAGUAGGCGGGGUAACGGCCCACCUAGCCGACGAUCAGUAGGGGUUCUGAGAGGAAGGUCCCCCACAUUGGAACUGAGACACGGUCCAAACUCCUACGGGAGGCAGCAGUGAGGAAUAUUGGUCAAUGGACGAAAGUCUGAACCAGCCAAGUUAAGCGUGCAGGAUGACGGCCCUAUGGGUUGUAAACUGCUUUUAUAUAGGGAUAAAGUCGGGGACGUGUCCCCGUUUGUAGGUACUAUAUGAAUAAGGACCGGCUAAUUCCGUGCCAGCAGCCGC